UACAGAGGUCUCAAGCGUUGUUCGGAUUUAUUGGGCGUAAAGAGCUCGUAGGCGGUUUGUCGCGUCUGCCGUGAAAGUCCGGGGCUCAACUCCGGAUCUGCGGUGGGUACGGGCAGACUAGAGUGAUGUAGGGGAGACUGGAAUUCCUGGUGUAGCGGUGAAAUGCGCAGAUAUCAGGAGGAACACCGAUGGCGAAGGCAGGUCUCUGGGCAUUAACUGACGCUGAGGAGCGAAAGCAUGGGGAGCGAACAGG
rnacentral:rRNA from 1 species